GACGAACGCUGGCGGCGCGCUUAACACAUGCAAGUCGAGCGAUGAAAUCUUAACAGAACCCUUCGGGGCGAAGAUAAGACGGAUUAGCGGCGGACGGGUGAGUAACACGUGAGUAACCUGCCUUAUACACAGGGAUAGCCUCGGGAAACCGGGAUUAAAACCUGAUGAAACUAUCAAAUCACAUGAUUAAGAAAGUUAAAACUCCGGUGGUAAAAGAUGGACUCGCGUCCCAUUAGCUAGUUGGUGAAGGUAACGGCCCACCAAGGCAACGAUGGGUAGCCGGCCUGAGAGGGUGAACGGCCACAUUGGAACUGAGAAACGGUCCAAACUCCUACGGGAGGCAGCAGUGGGGAAUAUUGCACAAUGGGGGAAACCCUGAUGCAGCGACGCCGCGUGAGCGAAGAAGGCUUCGGGUCGUAAAGCUCUUUUAUAUGGGAAGAUAAUGACGGUACCAUAAGAAGAAGCCCCGGCUAA
rnacentral:rRNA from 1 species